ensembl:miRNA
GUAUUAGGUUGGUGCAAAGGUAAUUGCAGUUUUUCCCAUUUAAAACAUGGAAAAAAAAAUCAUAGUUACUUUUGCACCAACCUAAUAA